rnacentral:rRNA from 1 species
GACGAACGCUGGCGGCGUGCUUAACACAUGCAAGUCGAACGAUGAACCCGGAGCUUGCUCCGGUGGAUUAGUGGCGAACGGGUGAGUAACACGUGAGUAACCUGCCCUUGACUCUGGGAUAACUGCGGGAAACUGUAGCUAAUACCGGAUACGACCCUCGGCGGCAUCGCCAGGGGGUGGAAAGAAUUUCGGUCAAGGAUGGACUCGCGGCCUAUCAGCUAGUUGGUGUGGUAACGGCUCACCAAGGCGACGACGGGUAGCCGGCCUGAGAGGGUGACCGGCCACACUGGGACUGAGACACGGCCCAGACUCCUACGGGAGGCAGCAGUGGGGAAUAUUGCACAAUGGGCGCAAGCCUGAUGCAGCAACGCCGCGUGAGGGAUGACGGCCUUCGGGUUGUAAACCUCUUUUAGUAGGGGAAGAAUUUCUGACGGUACCCUACGAAUAAGAGGUUGCUCACUCUGUGCCAGCCGCCGCCGUAA